rnacentral:tmRNA from 1 species
GGGGCUGAUUUGGCUUUGACAGCGUGUAGAGUCGGCAAGUAAGCAUGCAGAGUGAUGAUGCCUGAACUCUUAAAUCACCGACAUCGGACAAUUUAACUGGCGAAAACAACUACGCUCUUGCUGCCUAACUGAAGUAUAGUAGGUUGGCUUAAUCUCCGCCCAAGGCGGUGGAGACAAGACAUCACCCGAUUGCCCUUUUUCCGAGGCUAAUCGAACCGGUGGUGCUAAAAUAUCGGGAAUAGGCGCUGGCAAGCCUCGGGCCAGAGCCGAAACUUAGAGGCUAAGCCGCAUAUUGGUAGUCAUGAUCCUGUAGGCGGACUAAAACCAAGUCAUGACUAAGCAUGUAGAAAGCUUGGCGGUUCCGCGUUUGGACGAGGGUUCAAACCCCUCCAGCUCCAC